GAAGAUAGUAAAGUGGCGCACGGGUGAGUAACGCGUGGGUAAUCUACCUUCGAAUCGGGGAUAACUUUGCGAAAGCGAUGCUAAUACCGGAUAACAUCUUAAAGGCUUCGGUUUUUUUGAUCAAAGAUGGCCUCUAUAUAUAAGCUAUUGUUUGAAGAUGAGCCCGCGUACCAUUAGCUUGUUGGUAGGGUAAUGGCCUACCAAGGCUGCGAUGGUUAGCUGGUCUGAGAGGAUGAUCAGCCUCACUGGAACUGACACACGGUCCAGACUUCCACGGAAGGCAGCAGUGAGGAAUUUUGCCCAAUGGGGGAAACCCUGAGGCAGCAACGCCGCGUGAGUGAUGAAGGCUUUCGAGUCGUAAAGCUCUGUCAAGUGGGAAGAACCUGCGAGAUGAUAAUACCGUCUCGCACUGACGGUACCACUGAAGGAAGCACCGGCUAACUCCGUGCCAGCAGCCGCGGUAAUACGGGGGGUGCAAGCGUUAUUCGGAAUUAUUGGGCGUAAAGGGCGCGUAGGCGGUCUCUUAAGUCAUCUGUGAAAGCCCGGGGCUUAACCCCGGAAGUGCAUGUGAAACUAAGGGACUUGAGUAUGGGAGAGGGAAGUGGAAUUCCUGGUGUAGAGGUGAAAUUCGUAGAUAUCAGGAGGAACACCGGUGGCGAAGGCGACUUCCUGGACCAAUACUGACGCUGAUGUGCG
rnacentral:rRNA from 1 species